rnacentral:rRNA from 1 species
GCGAACGCUGGCGGCAGGCCUAAUACAUGCAAGUCGAACGGUCCUUCGGGACAGUGGCGGACGGGUGAGUAACGCGUGGGAACGUGCCCUUUGGUACGGAACAACUGAGGGAAACUUCAGCUAAUACCGUAUGUGCCCUUCGGGGGAAAGAUUUAUCGCCAUUGGAGCGGCCCGCGUUAGAUUAGCUAGUUGGUGGGGUAAAGGCCUACCAAGGCAACGAUCUAUAGCUGGUCUGAGAGGAUGAUCAGCCACACUGGGACUGAGACACGGCCCAGACUCCUACGGGAGGCAGCAGUAGGGAAUCUUGCGCAAUGGGCGAAAGCCUGACGCAGCCAUGCCGCGUGAAUGAUGAAGGUCUUAGGAUUGUAAAAUUCUUUCACCGGGGACGAUAAUGACGGUACCCGGAGAAGAAGCCCCGGCUAACUUCGU